UACGGGGGGAGCAAGCGUUGUUCGGAUUUACUGGGCGUAAAGGGCGCGUAGGCGGCCACCGCAAGUCAGUUGUGAAAGCUCUGGGCUUAACCCAGAAAGGUCAACUGAUACUGCGGGGCUAGAGUGCAGAAGGGGCAACUGGAAUUCUCGGUGUAGCGGUGAAAUGCGUAGAUAUCGAGAGGAACACCGGCGGCGAAAGCGGCCUUCUGGACGAGGACUGACGCUGAGAUGCGAAAGCGUGGGGAGCAAACAGG
rnacentral:rRNA from 1 species